rnacentral:misc_RNA from 1 species
UCCCGGUUAACCCGGGCAGUCUCAUUAGAGUUCCCACCAUUACGUGCUGGCAACUAACGAUAAGGGUUGCGCUCGUUGCGGGACUUAACCCAACACCUCACGGCACGAGCUGACGACAGCCAUGCAGCACCUGUGCACCGGCCCCGAAGGGAAGUGCCAUUUCUGGCACGGUCCAGUGCAUGUCAAGUCUGGGUAAGGUUCUUCGCGUUGCAUCGAAUUAAACCACAUGCUCCACUGCUUGUGCGGGUCCCCGUCAAUUCUUUUGAGUUUCACCCUUGCGAGCGUACUCCCCAGGCGGUAUACUUAUCGCGUUUGCUACGGCACAACCAGGGUUGAGUCCGGUUACACCAAGUAUACAUAGUUUACGGCAAGGACUAC